rnacentral:misc_RNA from 1 species
GAAAUGCGAUACGUAGUGUGAAUUGCAGAAUUCAGUGAAUCAUCGAAUCUUUGAACGCACAUUGCGCCCUUUGGUAUUCCAAAGGGCAUGCCUGUUCGAGCGUCAUUUGUACCCUCAAGCUUUGCUUGGUGUUGGGCGUUUUUUGUCUUUGGCUCGCCCAAAGACUCGCCUUAAAACGAUUGGCAGCCGGCCUACUGGUUUCGCAGCGCAGCACAUUUUUGCGCUUGCAAUCACCAAAAGAGGACGGCAAUCCAUCAAGACUCCUUCUCACGUUUGACCUCGGAUCAGGUAGGGAUACCCGCUGAACUUAAGC